rnacentral:rRNA from 1 species
UACGUAGGGUGCAAGCGUUAAUCGGAAUUACUGGGCGUAAAGCGUGCGCAGGCGGUUUUGUAAGUUUGUCGUGAAAUCCCCGGGCUCAACCUGGGAAUGGCGAUGGAGACUGCAAGGCUAGAGUUUGGCAGAGGGGGGUAGAAUUCCACGUGUAGCAGUGAAAUGCGUAGAUAUGUGGAGGAACACCGAUGGCGAAGGCAGCCCCCUGGGUCAAAACUGACGCUCAUGCACGAAAGCGUGGGGAGCAAACAGG